AUGCCGGGAUGGGCUCCGUUAAGAAGGUUCGACCAAGAGGAGUGCAUCGAGGUGGCGUGGAACCGGGUGCGCCUGUGCGCGCUGGACCCCGCCAUGGUCGACCGCCGCCAUGCCGAGGUGCGCCUUCUCCGCUCCCUCCAUCGUGACCACAUCAUAGGCUUCCACGAGGUCUGGCUCGACCAUGACGCUGGCGUGCUGAACUUCAUCACCGAGGUUUGCAACUCGGCGAGCCUUCGCAAGUAUUUCGACCGCCACAAGCACGUCUCCGUCAAAGCGCUCAAGAAGUGGGCGCUCCUUGAGGGCCUUGACCACCUCCACACCCGCGACCCCUGCAUCAUCCACCGCGACCGUACUUGCAGCAACGUCUUCAGCAACGGCAACACCGGCCAUAUGCAAUUGCUGAUCAACAUCUUUGGCUUCACGGUUAUUCAUGGAAACUGGAUGUGAACCCCAACCAUCAGCACCAGGUACAAGAAAGCAUUCCUAAUCCAGUACGAUGAAAAGGGUGGACCAAGAACCGCGAGCGAGAUUGAUUGGCACAGGUAUUACAUGGUCGGUGUUGCUGUUGCUGAAGACGUUGCUGCAAGUACGGUCGCGGUGGAUGAUGCAGGGGUCGCGGGUGUGAAGGUGGUCAAGGCCCUCAAGGAGCGCCCACUUCUUGAGCGCUUUGACGGAGACGUGCUUGUGGCGGUCGAAAUACUUGCGAAGGCUCGCCGAGUUGCAAACCUCGGUGAUGAAGUUCAGCACGCCAGCGUCAUGGUCGAGCCAGACCUCGUGGAAGCCUAUGAUGUGGUCACGAUGGAGGGAGCGGAGAAGGCGCACCUCGGCAUGGCGGCGGUCGACCAUGGCGGGGUCCAGCGCGCGCAGGCGCACCCGCACCGGUCGCCUAUCCCCUCGCCUCAUCUUAUCCCCCUCCGUCCCCGCUUCCUCCUCCUCUUCCUCCCGCUCACUCCCGAAGCGAAGCCUCGAGAGGUCCCAAUGGCUUCCACCACAUUCUCCUCCGCCUUCUCCAUCCUCUCUCUCCCCUCCUCCUCACCAUCCCCCUCCGCCUCGGCCCCCAGGACCCUACCCGUCGCCAACCGCCGCCGCCGCGCCGUCGCCGUCGCCUCCACUGCCACGGAGUCCCCGAAGGUCCUUGAGCUCGGCGACGCCAUUGCCGGGCUCACCCUUGAGGAGGCUCGCAACCUUGUCGACCAUCUCCAAGAACGUCUUGGCGUCUCUGCCGCCUCCUUUGCUCCCGCUGCCGCGGUCGCGGCUCCCGCCGCAGCGGCGGCCGAGGAGGCACCGGUCGAGAAGACGGAGUUCGAUGUGGUCAUCGAGGAGGUGCCCAGCAGCGCGCGUAUCGCAACCAUCAAGGUUGUGCGCGCACUGACCAACCUGGCGCUGAAGGAGGCCAAGGAUCUUAUCGAGGGGCUCCCAAAGAAGCUCAAGGAGGCCGUGAGCAAGGACGAGGCCGAGGAGGCCAAGAAGCAGCUCGAGGGAGUCGGCGCCAAGGUGUCCAUAGCGUGAGACUAGAACAAUGUGAGUAUUACAUUGGGCAUGGCAUGUGAGUUUGGGUAGUUGAAGAACAUGGACUCUCCAUAUGAAGAUAUAUGUGUGGUGCUGAAACUGGGAAGUUCUCUGAAAAUAUUGUGUGUUUUUGUCUCUAGAGUAUUUUGUUUUCCCCCAUGAUUUGAAUCUAUCGAAGGCGCUGAAAGUUGUUUUACGCCCACUUUGUAUUUCUGAAUCUCUACUUCUGCUUUCCAAAGUGUAAUUGGGUGAUGCUGUUGGCACCCUUGAUGUUAUCCAUCCACAAG
rnacentral:rRNA from 1 species